rnacentral:rRNA from 1 species
CCUACGGGUGGCAGCAGUGAGGAAUAUUGGUCAAUGGUCGCGAGCCCGAACCAGCCAAGUCGCGUGAGGGAGGACGGUCCUAUGGAUUGUAAACCUCUUUUGUCAGGGAACAAAAGCCGCGACGCGUGGCCGUCCGAGAGUACCCGAAGAAAAAGCAUCGGCUAACUCCGUGCCAGCAGCCGCGGUAAUACGGAGGAUGCGAGCGUUAUCCGGAUUUAUUGGGUUUAAAGGGUGCGCAGGCGGAAGGUCAAGUCAGCGGUAAAAUUGAGAGGCUCAACCCCGUCGAGCCGUUGAAACUGGUUGUCUUGAGUGGGUGAGAAGUAUGCGGAAUGCGCGGUGUAGCGGUGAAAUGCAUAGAUAUCGCGCAGAACUCCGAUUGCGAAGGCAGCAUGCCGGCGCCAAACUGACGCUCAGGCACGAAAGUGUGGGUAUCGAACAGGAUUAGAUACCCUGGUAGUC